GAUGAACGCUGGCGGCGUGCCUAAUACAUGCAAGUCGAGCGAACGGACGAGAAGCUUGCUUCUCUGAUGUUAGCGGCGGAAGGGUGAGUAACAUGUGGAUAACCUACCUAUAAGACUGGGAUAAAUUCGGCAAACCGGAGCUAAUCCCGGAUAAUAUCUUGAACCGCAUGGUUGAAAAGUGAAAGACGGUCUUGCUGUCACGUAUAGAUGGAUCCGCGCUGCAUUAGCUAGUUGGUAAGGUAACGGCUUACCAAGGCAACGAUGCAUAGCCGACCUGAGAGGGGGAUCGGCCACACUGGAACUGAGACACGGUCCAGACUCCUACGGGAGGCAGCAGUAGGGAAUCUUCCGCAAUGGGCGAAAGCCUGACGGAGCAACGCCGCGUGGGUGAUGAAGGCCUUCGGAUCGUAAAACUCUGUUAUUAGGGAAGAACAUAUGUGUAAGUAACUGUGCACAUCUUGACGGUACCUAAUCAGAAAGCCACGGCUAACUACGUG
rnacentral:rRNA from 1 species